UACGUAGGGUGCGAGCGUUAAUCGGAAUUACUGGGCGUAAAGCGUGCGCAGGCGGUCUCGCAAGACCGAUGGGAAAUCCCCGGGCUUAACCUGGGAAUGGCAUUGGUGACUGCACGGCUAGAGUGUGUCAGAGGGGGGUAGAAUUCCACGUGUAGCAGUGAAAUGCGUAGAGAUGUGGAGGAAUACCGAUGGCGAAGGCAGCCCCCUGGGAUAACACUGACGCUCAUGCACGAAAGCGUGGGGAGCAAACAGG
rnacentral:rRNA from 1 species